AUGUCAUUUGUCAAUAAUGAUGCUUAAAAUUGGAAGUUGCAGAACUCCCCAUUUUUAGAAAGACCAUCAACUCUCACAGGUCUUCUAGAUUUAAUUGUGCUGACUCACCAGCCCACCACUGUCAAGAACUGCUCCAGGUCCUCUUCACAACAAAGGAGGUGGGGAAGAGGGGAGAGGGAGAGCGGAAGAGAGGAAGAGAGAGAGGGAGAGAAGAAAGAGGGAUCAUAGGAUCCUCCUGGAAAUUGGUUCCGGAACAAAUAGGCUGCCCACUCAAAUCCAGGUUGAUACCUAUGCAGCCUUUCCUUUGACUUGCCCUGAUUGGGAUUCUAACACCGUUGAAGGUAAGGAGAGGCUCCAGGUCCACUGCCAGAUUCUGAUCGGGGCCUCCAAUAGGCCACCAACAGCCCACAAAUACAUUUAAUGUUAGCCAGGUGAUGCAGGGGAAGAAUGGGAGACCCAGGGACUAUCGAGAAAGACCAUAAAACUAGGUACCUUGCUACCUGACCUGUCCACAGAUGUGCAGCAUGGUUGCACAUCUAGAACAUCAUUUCAGACUCAACUGUCAUGCUCUGUCUAGAUGCGAAAUGUAUCUACUUCACAGAUGGGAGCAGCUUCAUCCAGAAUGGAUUCAGGUAUACAGAGGAGGCAGUAACUGACUUGGACAACUACUUUGGGCAACUACUUUGUUAUUGUUAUAGUUAUUUGGGCAACUACUUUGCCACUGAGAACUUGAGGCCAAAAAGCUGAACUAAGGCUCUAACCCAGGCUUCAAAACUGACAAAAGGAGCCAUAGCUAACAUUUACACUAAUAGCAGGUGGGAUUAUUGACUGCUGAAGGAAAACCAUCAAAAAUAAGGAAAAAAAUACUUGAUUUAUUGGAGACAUUAUGGCUUCCUCUCAAAAAGGCCAUAAUUCUUUGCCCUGGGCAUCAGAAAGGGACAUCAAAAGCAGCCUGAGGGAACAGGUUAGCUGAUAAAGCUGAAAGAGAGGCCACCCAAACUUCCAUUGCUGACAUUCUGGUAGCUUUGCUGCCCCAUGCACUCCCAGACAUCCCUGAAUAUACUGCUGAAGAUAAAUGAGAUCAGGCAAAGUGCCGAGGAGUUUACAGAUGAGACGGGCAGUUGCUGGCCCCUGAAGGCUGCACCAUCCUAAGGAGAUUGCUAAGUAACUCAUCCAUCAGAUUCAUCAAGCUUCUCACCUGGUCACUGAAAACUGAAGGAACUGCUGGGAGGGACAAGGUACAAAAAUUUGACUUAGGACACUUGGUUAAUCAGGUAUCUCAGACUGUGCCACCUGCCAGGCUGUGAACUCCUCAGGCCCCAGUCAAGGAGCUGCUACAGAAACCAGAAUCAGGGGUCAACAGCCAGGGGCUAAUUGGGAAACAGACUAUACAGAAUUAAAACCAGGACCAUAUGGAUAUAAAUAUUUGCUAGUUUUUGUAGAUACCUUUUCGGAAUGGGUAGAAGCCUAUGCUGCAAAGGAGACUGCCAACGUAGUGGCAAAGAAGCUUCUGGAAGACAUCACACCCAGGUGUGGUUUGCUUACCGUGCUUCAGUCUGACAGUGGACCAGCACUCAUCUCUCAGGUGAUGAAAUCUGGAUUAAGAGACAUAACCCCAUGACUCUGGAACCUGGCUGGAAGCAACCUCAUGCCAUGAUCCUGACCACACCUAUGGCUGUUAAAAUGGAUGGGAUCAGGAUGUGGAUAUACCACUCCCAUGUUCAGCCUGCCAGGAGAGGUCUCAGUGGAGGAGACUUCCCAGGAAACUGACACAGGAACAAUGAAAGGUCAUUACCCCACACCCUUUGGAGAGCUAAAACUACAAACCCAGUACUCCUGAACCUGCAUGCUUGCUGCUUACACUUUGCUACCUCAGCCACUAGCCCCCUCACUAUCUGGGUACCCCCAGGAGGUGAUGGAACAAUCCAAUUAUCAAGGUCACAAUGGCUGGCAAGAAAACUGAUUGGACUGCCAGUUCUUAACUCCUCUCUCCUCAGACUUAACAUAGAAGUCUGUUGGUUACUGGACAGGGAAUUUGCAUUGGAAAUAAGGUACCCUCAGCCUAUUCCCACCUCUACAACCACACUGUAACCCCUACUGUUUCAGGAUGCAUAC
rnacentral:lncRNA from 1 species